CGGGGUUAAGGCCUCCUCCAGGUACUCCUGAGGACCACGGACCGGGGCAUGCUCAUUCUGCAGAGGCGCCUGACGUGGGGCUGCAGCGCACACUGCCAGUCUUUCUCAGGACAGUGGGGUGCGGCCUAUCCUAGACACGGGGCUGUUUGUGGUCUAGAAGCAGUGGGCAGAGCGUCCCCUGCCUGCAACAACAAAGCGUCCUCUGGUGUACCACGUCAGGAGUGCCCGGGGGAGGAGACCUGGGGUGGCCCAGCUUCCCGCCUUGGUGGAGCUUAGAGGGCUUUAGAAAUCCCUAAUCCCAGGGCUACGUGCUCCCUGCCACAGCAGUGAUGGCAUCUCAGUUUUCCAGUCCAGGAUCAAAUUUGAGGAGUGCUACCCCGUGGGCUCCCUUUUCAACCAGUGUAGCUUAGGGCCCCGCUGCUCUGGGGUGGGUGUCAACGGCGGCUUCGACCCUGGUCUUAAACCACUGUGCUGUUUCCCGUGAACUAACUUUACGUGAGUUUGUGCACGGAUGACUGGCCCAUUGAUCGGAAACCCUCGUGGGUUUUCAGGAGAAGAGUUUCUCCCUCAGCGGGGUGGCAGCAGCUGCCCUGUCUGGUGCCCAAGGACCACCCCUCGCCCAGGUGGUGAUUCGGCAGUGACACUGCUUUCAGAGCCUGCCCCAGGAUGCGAGGCCCAGGAUUUGUACUUGAAGGUGGCCACAGGGAGAGCCUGGCUCCUUCACUUCUUGGCUAAAGGAAGACCACUGCCCUGGGCCUUCACACUACGGAGCCAGUCUCAUUGCCCUGAAGUAGUACACGUGGGACUUGAAAUGCAGCUUGAACACGUAGUCCUUGUGGAGGUCUUCAGACUCCGAGGGAAUGGUGAGCGAGUACCCAAGCAGAGGCAGGCUGGCGAGGGGGUGACUGUCCUGGAAGGGGGCACAGAAGGUGGGAGCAGUCACAGGUGUGGCACCUGCCCGCAGCAGCUGGUCUGGACUGAGGUCCAGGCCCGGAUGCAUCGCGUCGGCCACCGGUGACAUCACCCGCGCCCCCCUCCCCUCAUCCAACCAGCAGACGCGCAGCCCUUGGCAAGUGGAUAACGGCAGCCUUCGCUUAGAGCUGUGGGGUCUCUGCGGGCCGUGGCCUUGCCCAGCCUGCUGUGGGCCCCCCUCCGACACCUGGGUGGCUCAGGGGUCAAGCUGUUCAUCCUUCCAGAGGAAAGCUGCCUGCUCCCCGAGGAGGGAGGCUCUUCCCCAGCCGCCCCACUGGGCACAUACCUGGUGCGACUUGUAGAAGAAGAGGCAGAAGUUGGUGAAGACUACCCACAGCUUCUGCCACCCGUUGCUGUUUUUGAAUUUCCUCAGCAGGUUCCCAGACAGCUGAUUCUACAAGACAAGUCAGCCUGUAAGGAGCCCGGUGGAAAGGCCAACUCAGUGUCACAGCCCGGUGGGGCCCGCCGGCAGGGCCGUGCUUCUGGUCAUCGGAUGUAGAAUUGCGGAGAUCGUCCUGGAGUAGCGGCCCGUAUCCACUACGGCUGACAGACAGACACGGGGCAGCCCCUGUGACCACAGGCAGGCGCGAGUGCUGCGUCUACAAGCCCAAGAACACCAAGGCGGGUCAGCAACCCACAGCAGCUGGCAGAGGCCAGGCGGCCGCCUCCCACACAGGUUUAGAGGGACGUUGAUUUCUGGACCUGUGACCUCCGGGAUGGUGAGACAGACCUGCCCAGCGGGUGGUGCUUGUUGGGGCAUCCGUGGGAAAGGCUCCAUCACCCUCAACUCUAAGCCGGCAGGAGCCCAGCGCCAGCCAGCAGCUCCUGACUGCCACCUGGUGGCCCUGGCCGCAACGCUGGAUUUCAGCGCGGAGCCUCCAGGCCCCACCCUGCGCUGGUGGGAACAGGCGUUCCGGGCGUCCUGGUUUAACUCCGGAGCUCCAUGGUCUCCUGAGGCCCGCAGGAGCUGCCAGCACAGAGCAUCACCGUGAAAUCACAGGCAGCCAAGGGGGGCCGCCAAGAUCAGAGCCUGUGCAUCCUUCCUUGCCUUCUCUCCAAAGCCCCUGUGUCACCUCUCAGAGGACCCUAAGAAGCCUCAGCUGUGUCCCUGACAAGACAGCAGCUCAUUGCCAGGAAGCCUUGACGAAGAGAGAAAUGGAUGGUGAAUAUAAUCACUGCCACUAAAUCGUUCACUUCAAAGGGGUGAAACGGGCAAACGCACCACAAUAAAAUAUACAUAUACACACACCUGCGUCUACCUCAUUCCAUCUCUGGGGCUUUUCCAGUAACCUGUGUUUAAUCCAAGAGACAUUCUUAAGUAAGGCGCCUGUGAGAAGAGGUUAAAUGGCUCUGGCUGCGAGUCGCUUGCAGUCUGAUGGGGGAGACGGCGUGUUAGGCCGAGAGAACACAGGAAGCAGAGCUGCCCCUGUGGCCCUCAUCACUCCUGGCUGCCACUUACUUACCCACUGGCGAAAGGCAUAAGAAAAGGCGAACGGUGGGUUCCAGCAGGUGAUGGUGGCAACCAACCAGAGUGGGGAUUUGAUGCUUGUGCAAUAGCACACACGAUUACAUGCAAGUCUCACUCUGGAGGAAGGAGAGUAGCACAUUUUCCUUUCCUUAUUUUUAUACUGAAAUCAAAUUCCUCCAGACAGAGCCCCCAAAAAACCUUUCUCUUAGAUGCGUUUCCCUUUGGAACGAUAGCCAGUCCAACCCACAGUGUGGUUUACACACUUCACUGAUGAACCAGGUUCCAGGCCAGUGUUCUUCCCAAGGCAGGGUCAUGAGAACGCCCUUACCUUCUGCCAGCAGCCUUGAAUCCUCCUGGAACAUGCCAGGGUAUUCGUUCUGAGUAAGUCCUUCUAGCUUUGCCAGCUUAGCAGCUUUGCCAGAUGCUUCUUAGUAAUUGUAUCUACGGGUCUCUCCUUGCUCCCCGUUGCCCCCGUGCCCUCCAAAGUUGCCAACCCCACCAAAACCCUCGCUCCCUUGGCUUCGCUCCCAUAUACACGUCAAGUCUCCUACUCAGGUCACGUGGCCCCUAAGCUGCUCUCAAGAGCCUGAGCCUUUUAUCUACGCAAAUGACCUUUGGGUCUGUCUCCAACCCGGACCAGUCUGUGCUGCCUUUACGGGAGAGGUCAACAUUCCCAAUCUGGCACCGGCUGAGGCCCAUUCCCUGCCUUUCCCAGACUGGAGGAAGGCCUCUUUGCUCCCAGCUGCUCCAUCCCUGUUGUGGAUUGAUUCGUGUCCCCCCAGAAGAUAUUCAUGCCCAAAGGCCCAGUACCUGUGAAGAUGACUGUAAUAGGGUCGUUGCAGAUACAGUCAAGAUAAGGUCCUACUGGAGUACCGUGGGUCCUAACCCCAAUGCCUGGUGUCCUCAUAGGAAGAGGACUUUUCAACAGAUACACAGGGAGAA